CCCUCUCUCUCUCAGGAGGGGGAUGGACACUCCUGCGCAUUCUUUCAGCCAGGUCGCGUGUAGGCUGUGCUGCAGUGCUGACACUGCUUUGUGACUUCAAAUAAAAAAAAAGCUCAUAUAGGCUGCUCAUGUAACUUCCAUGAGUUUGAUCCCUGCUACGAUCCUCGGAGUUUCACAUCAUUAAGCUUUACGACAACCUCGGUGGGUAGAUCUGAGAUCUGUUCUGCAAUUAAGAAGAUGAUGAAGAAAAGGUGAGGUCGUCUCCUCAAAUCACCUUCCCUCCUCUCCCUCACUGCCGCCACAGACGGUUGCAGGUCAAAGGUGACUCUGGCGGAAUGUCGCAUGUUUUCUCCAGCUCGGAGACAGUAUGACAGCGUGGAAAAGCGGCAGCUUGUUGGACAGACUUGGGUCUGUAUCUUCUAUAUCCAGAACUGCGUUGCUGUUGUGAAAAAUGCCCCGAACCCAUGAAUGAUAAUGGGGGGAUUACGUAAGGGGCGCAGCGUGAGCAUUUGGCAGUUAGACCAAAAAAAAAAACCCAUCCUGACAGGACAGCAGGAGGAUUUGCUCACAAGGACUUCAUGUUCAUUCAUUCACCUGUGUUUGCAUGCCUAUCAAACUUAUCCUUAGUUAGACUUCCUCUUAUGUAUGAAAGCUUUUUUGGCGCCUUUACGCAUAGUCAGUCUCAUUGUGUAUGUGGUAUGUGCAAAGUAUGUAAUGAAAACCUGAGCAUAGCUUUGAUUCUUGUAUUAACAUGCAGGUCUUAGACAGUAAAAUGCAGUUAUCACGUCCAUGAAAAUGAGAAAGAAUAACUUCGCUCUUGAUAUGCAUGGGGUGACAGAGUGAUUUGCUAGAAAACCUUGGCGUCUGCUCUGGCACCUCACCAGCAAAAUCGUAUUCACAAGAGAAAAAAAAAACCUCAACUGACCUUCUUUGGUGGGCUGCAAGGACAGAGGCUCACUGCUGCAAUAACAGCGACGCCUGUUGGCUUUUUCUAGCGACUGACCUGACUGAUGUUCCUGCAAGGCAUUCACAAACAUCCCGCUCACCUGCACCUGGAUCAUAAUAAGCCUUCUGAACAAACACAUAACUCCUCACAUUUUUAGAACAGUAUUUCAAAGUUUAUUUUCUCUCAGAAUAUUGUGAUGAUAAAAAAAAGAAUCUGUACAAUUACUUAUUAUUGCAUUCAAAUUCUUUCAUACAUCGUUAUCAACUUGAUACAUUGUGGGUCACCGGCCCUCAAACUGCACAGUUUCUGUGGCCAUUUUAAAUAGUCAGCGUGCGUAAAGAUCAAUAAUUACAAUUCAUAUUUACAUAUCUUUGCUUAAUUAUUACUUUUAUAAAAAAAUAAAAUCUCUGUAUGUACAAAACUUGCAUAUGAUACACUUCAUGUCUAACAAAAUUUCUCAAAGUGAUUGAAUAGACAUCAAAUGUGGCUUUUACAAUCAAACAAAAACACACAAAUAUUAGGAUAUAAACUUAUAUGUGCACACUCCACAGCAACAAAUAACUUCAGAAAGUUACAUUAUUCUCAUUGUCAAUUAAUUAUAAAUUAAAACUUCGAAUACACUAUA